rnacentral:rRNA from 1 species
UGGGGAAUAUUGCACAAUGGGCGCAAGCCUGAUGCAGCAACGCCGCGUGAACGAUGAAGGUCUUCGGAUCGUAAAGUUCUGUUGCAGGGGAAGAUAAUGACGGUACCCUGUGAGGAAGCCCCGGCUAACUACGUGCCAGCAGCCGCGGUAAUACGUAGGGGGCUAGCGUUAUCCGGAUUUACUGGGCGUAAAGGGUGCGUAGGUGGUCCUUCAAGUCGGUGGUUAAAGGCUACGGCUCAACCGUAGUAAGCCGCCGAAACUGGAGGACUUGAGUGCAGGAGAGGAAAGUGGAAUUCCCAGUGUAGCGGUGAAAUGCGUAGAUAUUGGGAGGAACACCAGUAGCGAAGGCGGCUUCCUGGACUGCAACUGACACUGAGGCACGAAAGCGUGGGUAGCAAACAGG